GAAAUGCGAUAAGUAAUGUGAAUUGCAGAAUUCAGUGAAUCAUCGAAUCUUUGAACGCACAUUGCGCCCGCCAGUAUUCUGGCGGGCAUGCCUGUUCGAGCGUCAUUACAACACUCAGGCCCCCGGGCCUGGCGUUGGGGAUCGGCGGAAGCCCCCUGCGGGCACAACGCCGUCCCCCAAAUACAGUGGCGGUCCCGCCGCAGCUUCCAUUGCGUAGUAGCUAACACCUCGCAACUGGAGAGCGGCGCGGCCACGCCGUAAAACACCCAACUUCUGAAUGUUGACCUCGAAUCAGGUAGGAAUACCCGCUGAACUUAAUC
rnacentral:misc_RNA from 1 species